rnacentral:tRNA from 1 species
GAUGCCGUGGCCGGGGUGACCCAGCGGCUCGGCGGGCUGGCGGCCGGGCUGGUCGGGCUCGGUGUGCUCGCCUACGGCGCCGCGUUCGUGCGGCGUUACC